UACGUAGGGUGCAAGCGUUGUCCGGAAUUAUUGGGCGUAAAGAGCUCGUAGGCGGUCUGUCGCGUCGGAUGUGAAAAUCCAGGGCUCAACCCUGGACCUGCAUUCGAUACGGGCAGACUAGAGUUCGGCAGGGGAGACUGGAAUUCCUGGUGUAGCGGUGAAAUGCGUAGAUAUCGGGAGGAACACCGGUGGCGAAGGCGGCGACCUGGGUCGAUACUGACGCUGAGGUGCGAAAGCGUGGGGAGCAAACAGG
rnacentral:rRNA from 1 species